CAGAUUUACUUCGGUAAUGACGUUAGGAAAGCGAGCGGCGGAUGGGUGAGUAACACGUGGGGAACCUGCCCCAUAGUCUGGGAUACCACUUGGAAACAGGUGCUAAUACCGGAUAAGAAAGCAGAUCGCAUGAUCAGCUUUUAAAAGGCGGCGUAAGCUGUCGCUAUGGGAUGGCCCCGCGGUGCAUUAUCUAGUUGGUAAGGUAAAGGCUUACCAAGGCGAUGAUGCAUAGCCGAGUUGAGAGACUGAUCGGCCACAUUGGGACUGAGACACGGCCCAAACUCCUACGGGAGGCAGCAGUAGGGAAUCUUCCACAAUGGACGCAAGUCUGAUGGAGCAACCCCGCGUGAGUGAAGAAGGUUUUCGGAUCGUAAAGCUCUGUUGUUGGUGAAGAAAGAUAGAGGUAGUAACUGGCCUUUAUUUGACGGUAAUCAACCAGAAAGUCACGGCUAACUACGUGCCAGCAGCCGCGGUAAUACGUAGGUGGCAAGCGUUGUCCGGAUUUAUUGGGCGUAAAGCGAGCGCAGGCGGAAGAAUAAGUCUGAUGUGAAAGCCCUCGGCUUAACCGAGGAACUGCAUCGGAAACUGUUUUUCUUG
rnacentral:rRNA from 1 species